UAUAAGUAUACAAAGGAACUAUUAUGGAUAUUUAAGCUGUGUAUAACAGAGAAUUAAUUUAUAAAAAAUAUUAACUCUAAGAGAAAUUCUUUAGUAAACGAAGUGAAUUGAAAUAUCUUAGUAACUUCAGGAAAAUAAAUCAAAAGAGAUUCUAUGAGUAGUGUGAAUGAAAAUAGAGAAGCCUAAUACAAUAAAGUAAAAUAUAGUUUGAAUUCUAUGGGGAACCUUCCUCAAAGGCUAAAUAUUAUACAUAAGCGAUAGAGAACAUAAGUACCGUGAGGGAAAUAAUAAUUAGAAAUAGUAGUUUUAUAAGCAGUUCAAGUAAUUUAAUAAAAAUACGAACGUACCUUGUGCAUAAGGGGUCACCAAGUUAACAUUAGAUACGAGUACCAGCGUAGUUAAACCAAUCAUCAAAAAAAUGAUAAGUAUCUAACGUUAGACCCGAAGCCUAGUGAUCUUACCUUAAUCAGGAUGUAAACAGUCCGAACGGUAUAUCGUUGCAUAGAUACCCGAAGAAUUAAGGUAAGUUUAGUGAAAGACAAAACUGACUAGGAUAGCUGGUUUUCUGCGAAACCUAUAAAAGUAGGCAAUUCAAAUAACAUCAUAGCAGGUACAGAACUUAAUCUCAGACAAGGUGUAAAAUUUUAAUUUAAAAUACAUUAUGACUUGUAUAUAUCGGGGGAUCGUGAAGAUUUUAUCGGUGAGUAUGUAGACUCGAAAUGGCAAAGAUGAAUGUUGAAUUAUCAGACAUAGAGUGCUAAGGUUGUAUGUCAAAAGGGAAACAGCCCAGAACAAGAUUUAAGGUUCCAAAAUUAUUAGUUAAGUGAAAUUAAGAAGGUAUUUAUUUGAGUCGACAAGAAGAUGGGCUUAGAAGCAGCCAUAAUUUUAUGAAUUCGUAACAGAGCGCUUGUUAAUUUAUAGAUGCAUCGAAAAUUUAACGGAUCUAAACAAUAUACCGACAUCUUGUCCAUUUUUAACAGUGAUGAAAUAUAUUACUGUUAUUAAAUGGGGUAGCAGAACGUUGAGUUUAUAUAAGAUUUAUCUUUUUUUAAGAUAAAUAUAUUAAGAUAACUCAAGUGAGAAUGGUGACAUUAGUAACUAAAAGAAGAGUUCUAUUAUUCUUCCCACUAGGAAUUUUCCUUCUAGGGAGGUUUCCUUUUGGAGGGGAAUGUUAGGAUUCUCCGCCUUAAGCUUAUGGGUUUUUAAGUAACGGCCUCUAAAUCUAAGUCGAAAGAUGCGGAUGAUGAGCAAAUCUUUAUUACUAAACAACAUUUAAAGUGUUAAAUGUGCUGGAAAAGAAGUAAUAUUAUAACAACCGUACCUAGAAACUAAAAAAAGUAAGCUAAUAGAGUAUACGAAGGCGUAUAAUGAGCUAACAAUCAUAAAGGAACUCGGCAAAAUGACUACGUAACUUCGGGAUAAGGAGAUCUCAUUAAUCUUGAUUAAUAUCAAGUAAAAAGGAAGAAGCAUGAAAUAGUGUUGUACGACUGUUUAAUUAAAACACAGCACUUUGCUCAAAGAUUAAAAAUCUAAGUAUUGAGUGUGAUGUCUGCCCAAUCCCGGCUGGUUAACAGAUAUAACUAAAUUUUUUAAGAGAGUUUGGUGUUGACGGAACCCCCGGUCAAUGGCGGCCUUAACGUGAGGGUCCUAAGGUAGCGAAAUGCCUUGGCCGUUAAAUGCGGUCUUGCAUGAAUGAUUUAACGAUACAACAGCUGUCUCUAUGAUUGACUCAGUGAACUUGGAAUAGCUGUGAAGAUACAGUUUACCUCUAGUUGGACGAGAAGACCCUAUGCAGCUUUACUGUUACUAAUUAUAGGGUACGGAAACAAAUAUAUAAGGUACAUUAGUUAAUAAGCAUGGAAAUCCUUUAUAUUUCUUCCGUAUCUAUGAACUAAUUCACAGAUAUUCGGAAACGAAUGUGGUGAAUUAAGCUAGUUCAUCUUGACUUGUCAAGAUUAAGCCUUAGGUAAGGAACUUAUCGUUAGGAGACAGUUUAUGCGGGGCACAGACCCCAUAAAGAGUAAAUGGGAGUGUCUAAUAUUAACAAUGUAUGAGUGCAAUUUGUGUUCAUUAAAAUAUUGUUUGUAACAUUAUACAGUUUUACUGUAUUUUAUCUUAUAAAAUUAUUUGUUUAAUCUGCACGAUCAGAUAUAUGAAUAAUACAGUUUAGAUAGAUUCAGGUACGAUUUAAUCUAACGAGAGAUUAGAGGUAAUAAAAAUCAUUAUGAAUCUUUCUAAUGUUUUUGUAGUUAUUAUAUUUAAUAAUAAUGUUGACUAUUACUUAAUAGGCUUAACGGCUAAAUCGUGCCUUACUGUUUGAUUAACAACAAAUCUUACAGUUGCGUAAGCAGGGCGUAGGAUCACAAGAUGCAAAAAGGAAAGAUCUUGGAUUAUAGGAAAAGCUACGCUAGGGAUGUUUGUCCUUUAAUAAUUAUAUAAUAUAAUUAUUAAUAAU
rnacentral:rRNA from 1 species